UACGUAGGCAGCAAGCGUUGUUCGGAGUUACUGGGCGUAAAGGGUGUGUAGGCGGUUCCUUAAGUUUGCUGUGAAAUCUCCCGGCUUAACCGGGAGGGUGCGGUGAAUACUGAGGGACUAGAGUACGGGAGAGGAAAGUGGAAUUCCUGGUGUAGCGGUGAAAUGCGUAGAUAUCGUAAGGAAGACCAGUGGCGAAGGCGGGUCUCUGGACAGUUCCUGACGCUGAGGCACGAAGGCCAGGGGAGCAAACGGG
rnacentral:rRNA from 1 species